AAAAUUAAAUCUAUUAUAGGCUCUCUAAAAAGAGAUUAAUAGGGAAAAAGGUUAAAAUCCUUUGCAGCACCCGCUACUGUAAUGUGGACGAACGUUUGUUAAACCACUGUGAUAAUUUCACGGGAAGGUAAACUAGUAGGAUGAAGCUAAGCCAGGAUAUCUACCUAUAAUAUAUAAAGGAUU
rnacentral:ncRNA from 1 species